UAUUCCUACGGGGGGCAGCAGUGGGGGAUAUUGGACAAUGGGGGGAACCCUGAUCCAGCGACGCCGCGUGAGUGAAGAAGUAUCUCGGUAUGUAAAGCUCUUUCAGCAGGGAAGAUAAUGACGGUACCUGCAGAAGAAGCCCCGGCUAACUACGUGCCAGCAGCCGCGGUAAUACGUAGGGGGCAAGCGUUAUCCGGAUUCAUUGGGCGUAAAGCGCGCGCAGGCGGGCCGCUAAGCGGGACCUCUAAUC
rnacentral:rRNA from 1 species